AUAGGGUCUAACAACCCUUUAGAGAAAGAAUUGACUGAAUUGGUUGAUUCACGCUGAUUCACCCAAUUUACUACCAGAACACAAGAUUCAAUCACGAUUCAAGUACAUUUGCGAUUCACCCCAAAGAUUCGAAUCGCUGGGAUGGGAAAUCAUGUUGAAUUGAGAAUCGUACAAGUCAAACAACAGUGAUUUUGAGAAUUUGUAUUGAAUCUAAUGAUUCAAUUCUUGAUUCAUAAAAGGAGGAUUUGAUUCUCAAUUCGAAUCUUGAUUUGAUGGCUAUGGUUUGCUUGUAUUACUAUUCAUCUCCAAGAAUUUUGUUAAU
rnacentral:misc_RNA from 1 species